rnacentral:rRNA from 1 species
AGCAGUCGCCGCGGGAAUACGAAGGGGGCUAGCGUUGCUCGGAAUGACUGGGCGUAAAGGGCGCGUAGGCGGUUUUGACAGUCAGAUGUGAAAUUCCUGGGCUUAACCUGGGGGCUGCAUUUGAGACGUCAAGACUAGAGUGUGAGAGAGGGUUGUGGAAUUCCCAGUGUAGAGGUGAAAUUCGUAGAUAUUGGGAAGAACACCGGUGGCGAAGGCGGCAACCUGGCUCAUUACUGACGCUGAGGCGCGAAAGCGUGGGGAGCAAACAGGAUUAGAUACCCCGGUAGUCCCUGUCUCUUAUAC